GCGCGGAUGGCGGAAUUGGUAGACGCGCUAGCUUGAGGUGCUAGUGACCGCAUUAGGUCGUGGGGGUUCAAGUCCCCCUUCGCGCA
rnacentral:tRNA from 1 species